AUCUAUAAAUAUUGGUGUUCCGGGGACUCACUCCACCACCAAUUUCACAACUUCUUACACAUCAACUUCCCUUUCUCCACUACCCUUCUUUUUCAGUCUCUGGUCUGGUAUAAUUUCCAUAAUUCAAUGGAGAUAAAGAAAAUAAUCUUGAAGUUGGAGGUAUUCGAUGACAAAGCCAAGCAGAAGGCCAUGAAGAAUGUCUCUUCCCUUCCAGGAGUUACUUCAAUCUCCGUGGAUAUGAAGGACAAGAAAUUGACUGUAAUCGGAGAUGUGGAUCCAGUAUGCAUAGUGAGCAAGUUGAGGAAGUUUUGCCGCACAGAGAUAUUAUCAGUUGGACCAGCAAAAGAGCCAGAGAAGAAGAAGGAGGAGCCUAAGAAAGAGGAGCCCAAGAAAGAAGAGAAGAAGGACGCUAAAGAACAAUUGGCUGAUCUUGUUAAAGCACACCAAGCCUUUUACCCUCAAUAUGCCCCACACUACUAUGUUAGAAGUGUGGAAGAAGACCCAAAUGCUUGUGUCAUUUGUUAAUCACCAGAUCAUAGAAGAACCCAAAAAGGCAAAAGCAAUGGUAUCGGUAUCUGUCUAUGGGUGAUUAUAGAUAUGGGCCUUCUAUAAUGAUGGUGCACUCAAGAACAGAAGCCUUAUGUACAGUACUGAAUGGUUAGUGGAUGGUGGGUGUUUGAUUGUUUAUUGUUUGCCAGUUUUGAUUUGGCGUGUAUCAUAUUUUGGGUUGUUUUUUUCCAUGAAUGAAGUAAGAACUUGGAGUUGUUAUGAUAAUUGAA